UCGACCGUGAAGCACCUUCGCCGCCCCCAUCGUGGAGCCCUUCGCCGCCCCAUCGUGGAGCCCUUCACCGCUGCCGAGAUCCGUGAUCGCCGCCGCUGAGGUCCGAGAUCGCCAUCCCUUUCCGUUUCUAGUUCGCUGGAUUAUCUCCCUUUUCCCCAUCUCUCUCUCGCGCGUCAUUGCUGCCACCGCCCACUACUGGCCGCCUCCGUCCGAUAGAUCACCGACGCCGAGAGGCUUCGAGGUCGUCAGUGCAACGUCGGGUGGCUCUCCCAAUCCAGGGAUCGAGCGCCUGGGGCAGGAGGCGUCUACGGGAUGCACGCGUGGGAGCUGGGAGGUUCUCCUGGCCGUCAGAUCUGUGACCCGGCGGUCGUCCACUGCUUGCAUGUGACUGUUGACGGGGAAGAACAAGGAUUCGUGUAUGGAGGGGAGGAUCCGCGGCACGGUGAUCCGAACAAAUUCGCCAGCCGUGUCUUCACACCCUUGGUCUCAUCUCAUCGCUUCUUGUGGUGGCUCCGUGGAAUGCAUGAAGCUGCUCAUUGAGGGUGGGGCUAAUGUUGAUGCCGGUGGAUUCAGUGGAGUGAUCCCUCUGUUGUUAGCAUGCAGCCACCGUGGCAACAUCGGAUUCGUCAAGUGCUUGUAGAAGGCUGGAGCAGAUCCAAACGUUCCUGACCAAGUGAUCCAAACGUUCCUGACCAAGUGACCACCACCGCCUGCGGGCGCAACGAGGCAGAGGAGGAUAUCCUGUUAGGGCUUGCAGCGCGGAGGCGUCGUGAGGAGGAGACGCCAAGGUGCCGGUGGUGCGCCUGCUGCUGGUGGUGCUCAGCGAGGACGAGUGCCAGAAGGGGCUGAGCAGGACGCCCUAGCGCGUCGCGAGUAUCUGCUAAUAAUUUUUGUCUUCCUUUCAGAUG